CGCAACGCAAAGUUCAGUUGGCGCCAAUUCCGUUUCAGUCACUUGUUCGAAGUGCUUUGCGUUGUCGUUAGUGCGUCAAUUUUUAUUCGUCUUGGGCAAGAUUACGUACGAUUCUUGAGUAGCGAGCGCGUCAGGUGCGCCCUCAUCCUCUCGCUCUCUCUUGUCGAAACUUCCAUCUCUUUCGACGUUAUAAAUAGUGCCGUUCAAGCAUGGGAACAGACCGAGUGUUUCACAUUACGUGGUAAUAGGACACUUAACCAGACGGCGAACAGUAACAAGCAGAAAUAGAACAUUCAUGGAUUUAUGUGAAGUAAGACUGUAUGGAUAAACAGACGUUGCGUAAUGUAUGAAUUUAAAAAUGUGGUAGCGUAGAGGUUUUUGCGGAAAAUACCAGGUGCUAUAAUUUAUAAUUUUAAAAUUAAUUUGUAAGACUUGAAACAUAUAUUAACCGCUCGUUUUCAUCUGUUAUUAACACGUAUCAAAGCGACAGUUGUUUACAUGUGUACACGGUUCAGAAGCACGUCGUUUUGAUUUUUAGAACCAUGCACGUAACUUGAACUUUGUUGUGUUUAGUUGAUUCUUUUGCUGUAACAGUGUUGAGAUAUUUAUAGUGCGUGAUUCACGCAUGUAAGAGUAGUUCCUGGAUUCAACUGUAGGUGGUGAAGAACCAUUUAAUUUUUCGAGAGUCGUGAGAAAGUCGAUCGAGAUGGAGGCGAAACUCAUCAGGUGUGACAUCAGUGUUUGGAAUUUGUGAAAAUAGCAUGCCAGUUUAUAAAACUGUAUGGAUUAUUAUUUGAGUUGAGAGUGAAUAUAUAUGAUUAGAACAUGCAUUUUAUAUAAUACGGUUUAGUCAAAUGACUUUGUGUACGGCUGUUCCGAAUUGAAAGCAAUGCUCAUCAACUCGCGGAUGUGACAGAACGAUUAGAUGUUCCGAGUGCUGGCAGUUUUGAAGCUUGGCGUGUCGUAGUUUCUGUUAUAAAAACAAGGGACGCUGUGCUACAAGAGACUUAGUUUGCUGAAAAUGUACAUAAUAAAUAUGCUUUACAGUGUCUGUGUGUUGUGUAUAAAGUGUGUUACUUACAAAGGCAGACCAAAGACUUUUUUCAAAAGUAUGAAGGAAACACGAUCUGCUGUUGUGGGAAGAACAGUUCCUAGACACUCUUUGAAUUCUUUAUUCAUCCGUGUCAUCUUCCUUUUG